rnacentral:rRNA from 1 species
UACGUAGGGGCCGAGCGUUGUCCGGAUUCAUUGGGCGUAAAGAGCGUGUAGGCGGCCGCUUAAGUCCUGCGUGAAAUCUCGGAGCUCAACUCCGAGCGGUCGUGGGAAACUGGGCGGCUAGAGUGCGGGAGAGGAGAGUGGAAUUCCUGGUGUAGCGGUGGAAUGCGCAGAUAUCAGGAAGAACACCCGUGGCGAAGGCGGCUCACUGGCCCGGUAUUGACGCUGAGGUGCGAAAGCGUGGGGAGCAAACAGG